UCCAACAUCUCCAUCAGGAAGGUGUCAAUAGGGGUGUCACCAAUCAGCUUGAAGAAGAACAGGUGCUCAAGGCACUUGAGUCCAAUCGAGCGGAGGGCUGGCAGUCGGAGGAGCAGCUUGGCAAACCUGGGGAGAAAGAGCAAAAAUCCCUGUUCAUCAAGAGAGAGGCUAACUGUGUAAGAGGCAUUAUACUCUACCUGGGUAGUCUACAGCCUAAUGAUAUGCAGACUGAAUUCUCCAGUUGGUUUAUUAUUGUCACAUGCAUGAAGCGGAGUGAAAGGCUUUCAUACUGUUCAUACAGAUCAGAUCAUUACACAGUGUAUUAAGGUAGAACAAGGUAAAACAAUUACAAAGCAGAAUAAAGUGUAACAACUACAGAGAAAGUGCAGUGCAGGUAAAUGAUAAGUGAUAUCAAGAGUCCAACUUAUACUAGGGAAAUAUUUAAUAGUCUUGUAACAGCAGACUAGUAGGUGUCUUUGUGCCUUGUGGGUCAUUGAUGAAGCAGCUGAAGAUGACUGAGUCUAGGAUACUGAUCUGAUCAUACUGCAGUGAUGUCCUGGAACUGGGAUGAUUGACCUCCAACAACCACAGUCACUAUCCUUUGUAGGAGGUGACAGGCGGGGAUUCGGCACAUCCACUCACCUGCCCGAAGUAGAAUGACUUGAUCGUCGAGAGGGAGGUCGGAGAAGUGAGGAAUCCUCUUGGCCCAUUCCACCAGCGUGAAGAGCUGCUUGUCUGCCG